GAGACUCUGUGCGCGUGCAUAUCAAUAAGCGGAGGAAAAGAAACUAACAAGGAUUCCCUUAGUAACGGCGAGUGAAGCGGGAAGAGCUCAAAUUUGAAAUCUUCAAGGUUCUACCUUGACGAAUUGUAGUUUAAUAGAAGUGUUUUCUGUUAGUAGAGUGGCUAAAAGUUCUUUGGAAGUAGGACAUCAUAGAGGGUGAGAAUCCCGUAUUUGUACCAUUUCUUUCUAGCUGUGUGAUACACUUUCAACGAGUCGGAUUGUUUGGGAAUGCAGUCCAAAAUGGGUGGUAAAUUUCAUCUAAAGCUAAAUAUUGGCGAGAGACCGAUAGCGAACAAGUACCGUGAGGGAAAGAUGAAAAGAACUUUGAAAAGAGAGUUAAACAGUACGCUGAAAUUGUCAAAAGGGAAGCGUUUGACACCAGUGUUGUUUUUCCGAAAAUCAAUUACGAAUGUUUUAUUUUUGAGAAGUUAUGACUUCAUCGGCUUGCUUCUCUCUUUAUGAAACUUUCUUAAUGCACUUUUCGGUUAACAAGUCAACAUCAAUUUCUUUUGUUGUAAAAGGGUAUGAGGAAGGUGGCUUUCUUUUCGGAGAAAGUGUUUAUAGCCUUGUACCUCUGCAAUCGGAGAGAUUGAGGUCUGCAGCGUAGAUCCUUCGGGGUUAGAUACAUUUGUGCUAAGUUAUAGCUUUUCAUAGACAACUUGUUGACUAUGUUUAGUCUUGUAGCUUAGCUCGCUUAUGCUAUUUUACCUACGCUUAGGAUGUUGACAGCAGUAUAGACUGU
rnacentral:rRNA from 1 species